GGCAACUCGUAUGCCAAAAGUUGGAAUGAUACAAAAAGAUCAGUAGCAUGGUCCUUGCUUAUAGAUGAUGGGCAAAUCUGUGAAGCAUUCCAUAUUUUA
ensembl:snRNA U6 U6 spliceosomal RNA